GAACGAGAAAGUGGAGCAAUCCAUGAGUAAAGUGGCGACCGGGUGAGUAACACGUGACUAACCUACCUCCGAGUGGGGAAUAACUCCGGGAAACCGGGGCUAAUACCGCAUAACAUCGCAAGAUCAAAGCAGCAAUGCGCUUGGAGAGGGGGUCGCGGCUGAUUAGCUAGUUGGCGGGGUAACGGCCCACCAAGGCGAAGAUCGGUAUCCGGCCUGAGAGGGCGCACGGACACACUGGAACUGAAACACGGUCCAGACUCCUACGGGAGGCAGCAGUGGGGAAUUUUGCGCAAUGGGGGAAACCCUGACGCAGCAACGCCGCGUGGAGGAUGAAGCCCUUUGGGGCGUANACUCCUUUCGACUCGGACGAUGAUGACGGUACGAGUGGAAGAAGCACCGGCUAACUCUGUG
rnacentral:rRNA from 1 species